rnacentral:rRNA from 1 species
UGAAUACGAGACGCUAAGGCGUUGAAGUAGUGUAUGUCAUACUUCCAAGAAAAGCUUGCACUGUCAUAGAUAAAAAACGCCUGUACCAUAACCGACACAGGUGGGUAGGUAGAGUAUACUAAGGGGCGCGAGAUAACUCUCUCUAAGGAACUCGGCAAAAUAACUCCGUAACUUCGGGAGAAGGAGUGCCUUAUUUAUAAGGCUGCAAUAACAAGAUCCAAGCAACUGUUUAUCAAAAACACAGGUCUCCGCUAAGUCGUAAGACGAUGUAUGGGGGCUGACGCCUGCCCAGUGCCAGAAGGUUAAAGAAGUUGGUUAGCAAUAGCGAAGCUGAUAACUGAAGCCCUGGUGAACGGCGGCCGUAACAAUAACGGUCCUAAGGUAGCGAAAUUCCUUGUCGGGUAAGUUCCGACCCGCACGAAAGGCGUAAUGAUUUGGAUACUGUCUCGGAGAGGGGCUCGGUGAAAUAGACUUGUCUGUGAAGAUGCGGACUACCUGCACCAGGACAGAAAGACCCUAUGAAGCUUUACUGUAACUUGAAAUUGAAAUUGGACUUUAUUCGCGCAGUAUAGGUGGGAGGCGUUGAUUGUAAUCUUGCGGGAUUAUUGGAGCCAUCAGUGAGAUACCACCCUUGUAAUGUUAGAUUUCUAACUUUGAAUCAUUAUCUGGUCAAAGAACAGUUUCAGGCGGGCAGUUUGACUGGGGCGGUCGCCUCCUAAACGGUAACGGAGGCGUACAAAGGUUUCCUCUGAACGGUUAGAAAUCGUAUCUAGAGUGUAAAGGCAUAAGGAAGCUUGACUGUGAGACCUACAAGUCGAGCAGGGACGAAAGUCGGUCUUAGUGAUCUGACGGUACUGAGUGGAAAGGCCGUCACUCAACGGAUAAAAGUUACUCUAGGGAUAACAGGCUGAUCUCCCCCAAGAGUUCACAUCGACGGGGAGGUUUGGCACCUUGAUGUCGGCUCAUCGCAUCCUGGGGCGGUAGUACGUCCCAAGGGUUGGGCUGUUCGCCCAUGAAAGCGGUACGCGAGCUGGGUUCAGAACGUCGUGAGACAGUUCGGUCCAUAUCCGGUGUAGGCGUUAGAGUAUUGAGAGGAGCCUUCUUUAGUACGAGAGGACCGAGAAGGACAUACCUCUGGUGUACCAGUUAUCAUGCCAACGGUAAACGCUGGGUAGCUAUGUAUGGAGUGGAUAACCGCUGAAAGCAUCUAAGUGGGAAGCCCACCUCAAGAUAAGUAUUCUC